CCUGAACGCUGGCGGCGUGGCUAAGACAUGCAAGUCGCACGGGGCCCGCAAGGGUCCAGUGGCGGACGGGUGAGUAAUGAAUCGCUAAUGUACCCCGAAGUCUGGGAGUAGCCGGUCGAAAGGGCCGGGUAUACCAGAUGAGACCACGAGAGGGCAUCCUCUAGUGCUCAAAGGGUCACCGCUUUGGGCGCAGGCGAUUUCGUAUCAGCUAGUUGGUGAGGUAACGGCNCACCAAGGCGACGACGCGUAGCCGGGCUGAGAGGUCGGCCGGCCACAUUGGGACUGAGACACUG
rnacentral:rRNA from 1 species